CUCCCAAAGGCACGUGUCG
rnacentral:snRNA from 1 species